rnacentral:rRNA from 1 species
UACAGAGGUCCCAAGCGUUGUUCGGAUUCACUGGGCUUAAAGAGUUCGUAGGCGGCGCAGAAAGUAGGGUGUGAAAGCCCUCGGCUCAACCGAGGAAUUGCGCUCUAAACUACUGUGCUUGAGGGACCUAGAGGUGAGCGGAACUGAUGGUGGAGCGGUGAAAUGCGUUGAUAUCAUCAGGAACACCGGAGGCGAAGGCGGCUCACUGGGGGUCUUCUGACGCUGAGGAACGAAAGCCAGGGGAGCGAACGGG